rnacentral:pre_miRNA from 1 species
AUAAUUUGGAAGAUAACAGAAGGUGUCUAGGUUUAAGUGGAGAAGUGGUCUCUACGCUUUGUUAAUUAAGUGAGAUUCAACUCCUCCAACUUAUUCCUGGUUCUUCCUAGUCGU